rnacentral:lncRNA from 1 species
CAACAACUAAUCAAAACGGCGUAAAUGUCACUCAACUAGGAAGUGUCUGUUGCCUGACGACCAUCAAUGUUGUAAACAUACUACAUGCAAAAUGCCGCGCGAAAAUAAUGUUAAAGUGAAAGAAGUUAUUACUUCUCUCUGUAAGUUACUGUCUGUGUUAAGCGUCGAGUCGAUACCAACAGCUGAGGCAUUCAGGAGAGCCAAAUUCAACAGAAAAGAUGCGGCAGUGGAUAUAUGGAGUUUGCUAAGCAGGCUUUUGCAGAGAGCUUUUGCUCUGGAUUGUGCGUGCCGGGACUCUAGAAUCCAAGACUAUGAUAUUCAGCUGCUGUUUGUCAGGAGUGCUCUGUGUUACUGUGGCUAUGGGGCCUCGUGGGUGGUGGGGCCCUGGCCCCCCAGACACAUAGAAGAGGUGGGGAGCCGAGAUUUGCUCCUGGCGUUCAGCUGGGUGCUGUCAUUAGGGAAUCUGCUGGACUUCAUGCUGGCUGAGAAGGUUCAUCAGUUAGAUACACUCUCAUCUGCACCAUUGAUCCCCCAAGGUCUAAUACCUGGACAGCCUGACGUAGCGGCACAUGGACCAGGAGAGGAUGCCUCAGUGAAGAAGGACCCGGUACUACAGGCACUGCAGUGGCAAUAUGGGAAACUGAGACUUCAGUGGAAGAGCUUACUCUCAGCACAAGAGGAGAGGUCCAAAUUCACCCAUAGGGCUAUCUCCAAUAUCAGCCCCUCUGCUGUCUGUCAGCCUCACAUCACUGGUUCCCAUCACAGCAACACGACAUCAACUGCUCUUGACAAGGUGACAUGAAAAUGCUGGAACAUUGUAAUGAAAUAUUGGCAUGAGAUCAUGUAGGUCUCAGGAUUUGUGCAUUAAACACUG